AGAACUGUUUGUGCGCAAGCGUAUUUACAAUGCUUGCAUACAUAAACUAAAAACGCCGGAGUGAGUUUUUGUGUUGAUAUUCCUUCUUGACAGAGCUGCCCAAGUCUGGAAUACUUCAGGAAGUGACAGGUGGCAACCCUAUCAACUAGGUGCAGCAGUACUGUUGAUAAGAAUGUCUUUUAUAUUCUGUUGUAACAUCCUUCCAGAGGUUGAUGCGUAUCUUGUGCACAGACCCAUGAGAAAAUACAUCUCCCACUGACUUUAAUUCAGUCCUUACACAAGUGGAAUGCAUAAGCAUUUUCUAGUCUACAAAGGAAAUGUAAACAUUGAUGGCAACCAUGAUCAGAAGUAUAUUAACCUUCUAUAUGUAUAUAUAAAGUAUAUGUAUGUGGUACACAUCUUAAAUGAUAUUUGCAUAGAAACAUAUGAAUGUGUGUAACGGAGAAGUGUCACAUCACCUCCCAAUCUGCAGUUAGAUAAAAUGAAAGUAUCUGUAUUGUACAGUGCAGCUGCCAAAACUGUCUUUCUGUUAAUUUGGUAUUAAAGACCCACUUUAAUGUAUGUGUA